CAGCACUGUCUCUUAAAGCAUUCUUCAUGUUGUGAUGAUGUUACAACUUAGGCUGAUACAUCAACAGACCAUGUUCCUAUCUCACAAAUCAGAAAUCUUGUACUCUCUUGUCGCCAAAAAAUACAACCAUACUUGCUUGUCUUGUACCGCUGUUGAUAAACAGGACACGCCGCCUAACUCCUCUAGCUAGGAAGACUUUCGAUACCAGAUUUUAGUAUACAAUAUUGCAUAAAAAAUGCAUUCAAAGACAAUCCUCAUGAAUCAUGAUGUCUCCAAUGCCUUCAGCUUCUAGAC
rnacentral:lncRNA from 1 species